rnacentral:rRNA from 1 species
CCUACGGGAGGCUGCAGUGAGGAAUAUUGGUCAAUGGACGAGAGUCUGAACCAGCCAAGUAGCGUGAAGGAUGACUGCCCUAUGGGUUGUAAACUUCUUUUAUAAAGGAAUAAAACGAGGCACGUGUGCCUUUUUGCAUGUACUUUAUGAAUAAGGAUCGGCUAACUCCGUGCCAGCAGCCGCGGUAAUACGGAGGAUCCGAGCGUUAUCCGGAUUUAUUGGGUUUAAAGGGAGCGUAGAUGGGUUGUUAAGUCAGUUGUGAAAGUUUGCGGCUCAACCGUAAAAUUGCAAUUGAUACUGGCAGUCUAGAGUACAGGUGAGGUAGGCGGAAUGCGUGGUGUAGCGGUGAAAUGCUUAGAUAUCACGAAGAACCCCGAUUGCGAAGGCAGCUUACUAAACUGUGACUGACAUUGAUGCUCGAAAGUGUGGGUAUCAAACAGGAUUAGAUACCCGAGUAGUC